rnacentral:rRNA from 1 species
UCACUUGUUCUUUAAAUGAGGACUUGUAUCAACGGCACUACGAGGGCUAUACUGUCUCCUUUUUCUAAUCAGUGAAACUGAUCUCCCCGUGAAGAAGCGGGGAUCAAAAUAUAAGACGAGAAGACCCCAUGGAGCUUUAAACUUACCACACACCUCUGUGAUACCAUACCAUUUAACACAAGAGACCUGCGUGCUAGUUUUAGGUUGGGGGGACCACGGAGUAUAAUUAAACCUCCACAACAAAUGGGCUAAUACCCUUAUCCACGAGACACAACUCUAAGAAUUACUAAACUAAUGCUUAUGACCCGAUAUUCGAUCAAUGAACCAAGUUACCCUGGGGAUAACAGCGCAAUCUACUUCAAGAGCCCCUAUCGACAAGUAGGUUUACGACCUCGAUGUUGGAUCAGGGUAUCCCGGUGGUGCAGCCGCUACCGAUGGUUCGUUUGUUCAACGAUUAAAACCCUACGUGAUCUGA